GUGCUCACUGCAGCAGCACGUCCACUAAAAUUGGAACAAUACAGAAAAGUUUAGUAUGGUCCCUUGCAAGGAUAAUAUGAAAAUCUGUGAAGCAGUCCAUAAAAGA